UAUGAAGUCAUCAAGCAUAUCAUCAAAGAGAAAUGACAAUUAGUUUGACAAGGGACUUCUCAAAAGUGCACAGUGAAUGCCAGAAAAACAAUGUCUUUCUGGAUGGAAAGGAAAAGGAAAUAACUGCCAGCCUGGAAUUAUGCACGAGACAAAACCGUACUAGAAACAUGAGCAAAACAAGAAUAUUCUCAGACAGAAUGGAAUAUGUAUGUGUCACUACCAACAGACCCUGACAAGAGCAAUUCUCAUAAGGACGCAUUUAAGGAAGGAGGAAAUCUGCCCUAAAGGAAAGGUGUGUGAGGUAACUAUAGAAUAAAUACCCGACCGCUCACCACCCAGUAAAGAGAACAUUACCAGUACCUGGAAACCUCUUGCUUGCUCUUUCCUGAGCACAUAGAUCAGAAGCACGACCUGAGCCUGUUACCAGCCCAUGGGAAUCUCACAUUUCUGCAGUUUUCAUGGUCCUGCCACCACUUAAUAAUCGCCAAGCAACGUACUAAAUGUGAAGCCUUUGCCGUCCAUUUGCAUUUGACGAAACGCAGUCAAGAUACUUCAUGUGAUACUUUCUUAAAAUGCCUCUUUGUCAUUACUUCCUAUUUUUACCAUUUCACUGGCAUGUUUGUAUACAGAACAACUGUUGUCUUAAUAAAUCAUACUAACUCA